rnacentral:misc_RNA from 1 species
AAUAAUAAUAAUAAUAACAAUAAUGGAGAAAAGAUUAAGUAGAAAUUAAACACACAUAGUAAAAUUCUAUACCUGUAUCCUAAUCUCUACUUAUUCAUCCAUCCAUAUAUGGUGAAAGCCUUAAUUAAUUUUCAAAUUAUAAGAAUUAACGUAUGUUUAUUCGUGGCUUUCGCUUCGCCUGCGACUUUUUUUGGUUUUGAUUAACUGUCUCUGAGUCUGGCUUGAGCACAUCGAACAAAGCAUCCCAACAAAAUUUAGCAGAUUUGACUUCUCUAAUGAUAGAAAGUACGUCUGAUGAGCAGGAAAUUAAAAUAGCAUGCAAAGCAGCAGCAUUCUUUUUCCUCCAAGCCUUGUAUUCAACCUCAUCCUCUUUUGGAGGUUCAGUGUUUGCUUCAACUAUGUCCCACAGAUCAUGAGCUAUCAAAUAGUUUUUAAUGCAAACACUCCAGUUUUGAUAGUUACGUCCUUUCAAAUCUAAUAAUUCAGGAACUAUACUUCUUCCCAUGCUUAAUUUCUAAGCUCAGCUCUGCUCCAAUGCAAGAGAAAUGAAGUUUUAAAUUUAUUACCAUGUUAGAAAUUAGUUUAAUUAAUUUGACUAAUUAAUGAAGAAUCAACUUAAUAAAAGUAUUUAAGAGAUUAAGCAGAAAUUAAGCAAAUAUAUAUCUAGUAUAAUUACAAGCAUAUAUGAUGAUGUUACCUUUCAGUAUCCUUGAUAAGCUGUUGUGCUGACGGCGGCCAGAAUAGCCGGAAUGCUCAUAUGCACAUACUAAUCUCCACAAAGAAAUUAAGAAGAAAACAAGUAAUUG